CCUACGCCACCACCCACCCCCAAGAAAAGCACCCUUUUAUCCCAACCCCCCCCCCUCCCCAACAAAGAAUGAUUGAUGGCAAUAAAUUAUCAGGCAGCAGCAGCAGCAGCAGCAGCCAGUGUAGGCAGCAGGUCUUCCUAGCUCUCAGGAGCCCUGGGUUCGCCUUGGAGUCUUUUUUUUUUUUCUGGCGGUGGGUAGUCCCGGAUUUCAGUGACUUGUCUGCCUCAGGGGACAGAGGGGCGACCUCCUGGUCAGUUUAAGGGCUGCGGAGGGGUCCGCCCACCUGACUGAUAGAGAAGACUAGUAGGAUGUUCACCUCAACAGAAAUCCCAGAGAAGACGCAAGUCGAGUGCGGAUCACCCCCCGCAGGUCCUCACGCCUCAGACCCAAGCAGCAGCAGAGGAGGCGGCAGCAGUAGCAGAAGGAGCAGCAAUACAGAGGUACAAUUUUGUGUAUUUCAUUGGUGCCUCAAUGCCCUUCUCCCUAGUUUUUUUCAGCGGAUAAACCUGAGCUCAGGAAGGAGCAUCCCUAGCCCACACAACACCAGCAAAUAAGAUUCAGCAGUGCCAGGGAGUCACAUAGGCGGUUUCUCCUCUUUCAGGAGCAGCAGCAGCUUGUUAGGGGGAUUCCCCUUCCCCGGGUGGUCUGCCUUCCUCUUUCUCCUUUCCCUGUCAUUACUACUGUUGCUUAGAUUCUGGGUGCACAGCUCCCGGGUCAGUGCUGUGGUCCGAGGAGACUGAUGUCAGGGGCAACGUCCCUUGAGUUUUCCCGACAUUGCUGGGCAUGGUCAUCCAUGUUAAUCAGAGCUGAAGGAAGACUGAAGGAGAUGGGAGCAGAGGAAGGGGUGGCUUGGGAGAGAAGAGACCGACAGUGAUAGAGAUAGAGAAGACAAAAAGAAAUAGUGAGAAAGAAACUGAGAGACAGAGACAUGCAGAGAUUACAAGGGGCUAGAGGAUUGAGCAUAUGCAUGAGAAUGAAGGUGGUGGAAAAGGUGAUGAGAGAAGAAGGUAUCAGAAAAAAGGAAAAAAUAAUGUAUUGGUACUUCUACGCUACCGAAUACUUCUGAUUUAACUUGGGUAACUCUUCCAAAAAGGAAGAGGUAGGAAGUGGGAGGGAAAUUUUUUCAUUCUUUCUUCUAUCUUUACUCUCAUUCGGGAUGACACAUUCCACUCUUCCCCUUAUUAUCUGUGGCAAACUGAGAAAAGCAACCCUUUGACACUGAGAAGCCCACCCAUCCCAGAGAAAUAUGCUCCAUCUAUCCCAUUUCCCCAUUCAGCUAUGAUUUCCACCGUGCCUUUCUCUCUCUCUCUCUCUCUCUCUCUCUCUCUCUCUCUCUCUCUCUCUCUCUCUCUCUCUCUCUCUCUCUCUCUCUCUCUCAUACACACACUACCCUUCUCUCCAUUUCGGGAACAACUACCUAAAAAUGUUUGGGUCCCACAGCUUCCAGUCUUCAAGUCUUUCUAGAAUUAGCUCUGCCUUUCCUUUACUUCCCUUUUCUCCAGAGAAACACUUACAGGGUGUCCCAAGAGUCUUAGUGCAGUUUUAAGCUAUAAUAACAAAGAUUUUGAGGCAUUCUAUAUAGAAGGGACAAUGAGUCAUCCCCAAAUCCUUUUAUUACUGGGACCUCAUCUUGGAAUUCUGUGGGAACCACCCCCCACACACUAUUACUUCACAAAAUUUCUUUGCAGAUUUAGAGAUCAUUUGUCAUUUAUGCCCCCUGGAAAAGGAGGAAAGGGAGGGAGGGGGAGGAGAGGAGGAGGAGAGAAGACAGACAGAUAGACAGACAGAGAGAGAGAGAGAUAGAGAGAGAGAGAGAGAGAGAGAGAGAGAGAGAGAGAGAGAGAGAGAGAGAGAGAGAGAGAGAUCAAGCAAGCAAAACUGUUCUGUUCUUGGUCUGUUUUCUAAGCUGCUUUAGGAAACCACCCACCUUCAAGCAGCUGAGGAGCUAAAAAGAGAUUGGAGAUCCCCUGCAUUACACAGAAGCAGACUGAAAGGGCAAAAUGGAAAAGAAGGGGAAAAACAUAAAAGGAGCUUUUAUGCUGUAUUAUGGUGUGUGUGCAUAUAUGUAUUUGUAGGUAUAUACAUGUAUAUAUCUGCAUGUGUACAUGAGAGAUUGUAAGAGCUCUUUUUUGGGUAAAUGGUUGAGGGCUUUUGUAUGGAUAAGAGAAAAAAAAACCAUAAAAGCAAAUGACCAGUAUUGUCCAGCAAAAAUUUGAGUCACUCAGAAGCUAAAGUCUUUGGACUUUUAAAUCUGUGUCUCCUCUCAUCCUCACAGUUAAAUUUCUGGUUCUUUUAAGUCCAACUUGUGAAAUUGUGUUCUUAGAUAGACUCUUAAUACACAGAAGAGCAAUGUUCAGCCAAAAUCCAAUAUUAACAAAGACUUUUCUUUAAGGAAAGGCCCUUCACUUAUAAAGAGUAUUUACUUAUCUUAUACUUCUUUCACUAUCCUUACUCCAGUCAAAAUGAUCUAGAACAUGCAGUCCUCAAGUAGCUCUGCUAAGGCAAUGGCUUCCAACCUUUAUGGAGCAAAUCUCCCUUUUUGCAAAAAAAGUCUAUAUUUUAUAUUUUAUAUGUAUAUACUAUACUCUUAUUUUAAUCAAUUUCUACCAAUAAUUUUCUUGGCCUAUAUUUUACAGAGAUAGAAUUUAUUAUAAUUUUAAUAAAAUAAUAUUAUAGAUUAAAUUUGAACA
ensembl:lncRNA